CGGACUAUUCUAUCAUACUGCUUUUUUAGAAGGCAUUUUGGCUCUCAUCUUUCCAUUAAUUUGAUUUUGAGUGGAAAAAAUAUUAGGUAUUCCAGGAGAAAUAAAGUGAAAUAAUUUGGUUUUAGGUGGGUUAGCUGUAGUGCAAAUAUUCAAAAUUGUAAUUCCAGUUCGAACAGCAUGAGCUUUGAACUACAGCAGAGCCUAGUUCCAGUCUCAACUCUUCUACAUUCUAAAUGUGUGAAGGAUGAGAAAGUGAUUAAACCUCUCUGAGCUUCAGUUUUCUAUCUGGAAAUGGAAGAUGGCAACACAUACUGGAAGAGUCUCUGUGAGGGCUUCUGAUCCUUAGGUUUGCGUCGGUCACUGAGCACUUUUGUGGCCAAUCCAGCCUCAUGGACAGUUGCAGCAUUGGCAUCAGUGCUAGAAAAUUAUGACCCUACCCUUAAUCUUGGUGUGAACUUAGACAAGAGAGUUAUACUCUAUGAGCCUCAGUUUCUCUCCUUGAAAAAAAAUAGAGAAACACAUAUUUAUUCCUUGGGGCUGUUCCAUCAAAGGAGAUAAUGCAUUUAAAGUGCCUGGCAUAUGCCAGAACUCAAUAAAUAUUCAUCUCUUCUCACCCUCCUUCUCCUCCCUAAUGCCAUCUUGGAUUUCAUCACGAGGCGUCUGACCAGGCGACGAAGGUCACAGAGGAGACACAGGCAGUGUGGAGCCACACUUCUCCAGGCUUUUUUGAAAAUGAUUGAAAGUUAAACUGGGCCAGGAGUCUGGUGACGUUUGGGUGAGAGACAGAGUUAAAUUAAGGUUUAAUCUUAGCCCUUUCCAUGUGUUAACAGGCUGCGCAGAGAGAAGAGUUUGAAAGAGAUUCAAUGCUGAAUUUUCUCACUAAUCUGAGGAGAAGAGAGACAUGGAAAGAAAGAACAUGAGAGAGAGGGAGAAUCAGAGUUCAUAUGGCUAAUUUUCUAGCCAGCAGCUACUGGAACGUUUCCAUUAAGAGAUAUGAGAAGAGACAAAGAGAAGUAAUAACUGAAGAUGGCUUUCUUGGCCAGAAAAUAAGUUGUUCUGCCGAGAUGGAGGGCAGUGGGUGAGAGCGCAGAUGAAGUAGGUGCCCGGGGGACACAUUUCAUUUUAAUGUCAUCUCUUUAGUACCUCUCUAUCUGCACAUUCAAUUAACAUCGGAGGGAAAAAAUAAGAAGUUCCUCCCAUGUCAGCCUGCUUGGGGAACAGAACUGGGGAGACACAGUGACCUCACAUGUUCUUCUCAGAGAGUGCUUUCCAUCUCUGAGUUGGCCUUCAACGUUCAAGAAAAUGGAUAUAUUAUUUUUUUUCCUUUUCUAUUUCCUUCAGGAAAGACUAGGUUUCAGUACGGUUUCAAAUAAAAGCAGUGGAGUAAUUUUCUCUCCCGUAGGUUCUCCCUCAGCCCCCUGAAUCAUAAGAAUCAACCCUCAUUCCUUUUCUCCCAACCUCUCAGGUGCAUUUGCUGAGUCACUGCAUGUUGGCCUGAAACAGGGUCCAUGUGUCUCCCCACCAUUUCCAAGGCAUGGAGAUGGGAAGUGGGAAGUGGGGAGGGUGAGCUUUGGACUGAACACCCAAGGCCCACGGCCACCAGCUACGAGGCUUCCCACAGGCUUGUCUUUCUCUGUAUGUCUGUCACAGGAUUCCAGUUCUCCAGUCAAACCAAUGAUGCUUCUUUGGCCCUGUGCUCCCUGAAGUCCUCCCUUUAUAUCAUAAGUAACCAAGGAGUCCUUCAUGCCUGAUUUUUGAAUGCUAGUAAAUUUUCAACAUCCUCAUCCAACUCUAUUCCCCAGGCUUCCCUGCUCCAAACUCCAAAUCACCUGAAAAAUAUGUUCCAGUCACCCCACCUCUGCACCAACUUGAGUGAGUCUGAACUGAGAAGCAUUCAUUCCAAUUUGUCAUAUUUGUGGAGGAUUUUUCUUAAAUGGUCACAAUAUUUCUAGUUCCAUGGGCUCUUCCAAGGCUUUGUCACUUCCCAUCCAGAGGCAGUUUCUGUGUUCUUCCCCUUGAACGUGGGAGGCAUUUGUGACGGCUGCCUUGACCAACAGGGUGGAAGAGACACUGCAUGACCUCUGAGUGAGUAAAGGCCAGGCAGCCCUUGCUUGACUCUCUUCCUUGAGAUGUCAUCCUUAGAACCUCCAUGUUGUGAGAAAGCUCAGGCCACUGGGAAGAACACGUGGGUGUUCCCAUUGUUGACAGCCUACAGACAAUAUCAAACACCAGACAUGUGAAUGAAUGAGCCUCCAGGUAGGUCCAGCCAUUGAGCCAGCCCUCAGUCAACUGUACCAGCUGUGACCCCAGACAUAUUGGGGUAGAGACAAUUAUAAUAUCUCUACUCUGCCUUGUUCCUGUUGCUGACCCACAAUCUGUGAGUCUACUGCUGGUCAUGAAAAAAAACAAAUUGAACUUUCAUUCAUUCAUUCAUUCAUUCAUUCAUCUAUCCACCUACUCAUCCAUCCACCAAAGACACACUUACUGAUAUCCCACUGUGUAUCAUAGACUAUAAGCAUGGGGGCUGCAGAGAUAAAGAAAGAAGUGAAGGUCCUGAGGAGCUCACAGACAUACUACUCAUUCUGCUGUUGACCCAUCACCCCAAGUAACAAAAGAGCACCCCUACUAAUAUCCUGCUUCAGAUUUUCACAGUCGCUCAUUUAUGCUUGCAUUUCUGCUUUGCCAUUCCAACUAAGUGCCUUUAGAAUAAGGGAUCAACUUUUUUUCUCAUGGUGCUUAGCACGGUUUUAUAAAUUUAACACAUGUUUGAUAUAGCUUGUUAAUUUUUGAAAAAUCAGUCCAUAUACUGCUAGAGGUUUUCAAGGCUUCAAGUAAAUAAAAGAAUUACAUUUUGGAAAAAUAACUUAAUAAAUGAAAUCCUUGUGCCAAUAGGAGAAAAAGAAGAAAGGUAUGAAUGAUUUUUGGGUCCUUAUUAGAUGACUGGGGCCUGCUAUUUCAUUUACUCUUCAUAGGAAACUUAUACAAAUUAUGACAAUCCUCAAAUUGCAGACUUUAAGAUAAACUGGCUAAAUUGAAUGACUAUCAAAUGUGGCACAAGGAGUUUAGCCAAUGCCAGGGACUCUUUUGCAGCCACUGUGGUGACUCCAGCACAUGAAGAUGCCACCCAGAUGACAUUUGCUUUCAAGACCUUUGAACAGGCUGCCUUGAAAAGAAUGCUUUCCAAUGUGCAACUCUAUAUCUUCUGUGGCUCUGGCGUUUUGUGAAGCAUUGCUAAACCUAGUGCAGUAAACACCGAAAUGCAGCUGAGGAGUAAGGAAUCAUCUUUGCAUGAAAAGCGAAAACCUUCUCUUGUCCUGCUGGUUUGCUCUGUGGGCAGAAGUGAGGGGGCUGAGAGGUGGGAGGCCUGGACCCAAUGCUCCUAUGCUGUAUUGCUCGGGGUGACCUCGACAUCCAAAGACUUCAUUUUUAAGAACAAUCCAUCUGUGGUGAGGCUGUGGGUGGUAGUCUCUAAAAAGAUGAUGUAACUCCUUAUUAAAAGAAACUGUGGUGUUGGGAAUUAUUCUUCGGAGAGCGGGACUUCUUGCAAGAAAUUCCAAGAACCCCAGAAGCUUCUGGAUAGCAUAUGUGGGUCGAUGGAUGAAGACAUACUCUCUCCUCUGACAAAAUCUUUCUGUCUUGCAUCUAGGGAGCUGUGUAAUUGAAAUCAGAAUUCAGAAAGUGACCGUCGUGAUGUCGUUUACCCACAUCUUUCAUCAUGAGAAAACUAGAGGCACUGGAGGGAGGAAGUCACUUGCCCAGAGUGGCCCAGUGGUUAAGGAUGGUUGUGAUGAGCUGUGAAUGGCUCUGUGGAGCCAGCACAGUGCGUCUGGAGGCUGGUUCUGCACACCUUGGCCUGGUCCACUCACCUCACCCAUGCUCAGUCCUGUUCUCUGCCUUCCUGGCUUCUGACCUUAUCGUGGAUUUUUUGGUCCAGGCCUCACUCCUCCUAUAGGGUUUCACCACUGUUUCUCCUCUUAGCAACAUCUUCCCCCAGAAUAGGGCCAGGCGUGUAAACACAAAAAUAUGCCAGGUAAAAAAAUCCCACAGAAACUGGGCAGGUCAUCAAGUGAGAGGAUCACUUAAAUUCUAAUGUGUAGACCGUCCUGGCUGAAGCAAUAUGUCUGCCAGUUGGAACUGGCUGGAGCUUGCUGUAAACAGCAGACUUGAAAACCAGCAUGGCCCAGACUACGAACUAGGUUUGAUGUUUUGUUUGACAGGCAGGUCUAGAUGACCACUGAAAUAUCAUCAUCUCCUCGAACACUUUUUUCUUCUGAAAAUCAUUUAAAGUUUUUACCAUGUAAAGUGGUAGCUCAGUCCCUGUUUUCCAAGAUUGAGCCAUCCUCCUUUCCUUUGUGUAUCCCCACUGCCAUAUUGCCAUAAAAAUAAUAAGAAUGAAUAACAUUAACAACAACAAAUGUCAUUGCUGGAUGUUCACAUGUCAGGUAAGAUGCUAGGUGUGUUUUUAUUUAUUUAUUUUUUAUCUUUUUGAGAAGGAGUUUCAUUCUUGUUGCCCAGGCUGGAGAGCAAUGGCAUGAUCUCGGCGGCUCACUGCAACCAUGCCUCCUGAGUAGCUGGGAUUACAGGCAUGCACUACCAUGCCUGGAUAAUUUUAUAUUUUUAGUAAAGACGGGGUUUCUCCAUGUUCCUCAGGCUGGUCUCGAACUCCCGACCUCAGGUGAUCCACCAGCUUCGGCCCCCCAAAGUGAUGGGAUUACAGGCGUGAGCUACUGCACCCGGCCCGCGUGAUUUGUUUAAGAGCUAAUUCUAUCUUAUGAAAUGAAAUCUCUUCUUUAUUCCAUUUUACAGAUUAGGAAACUAAGGCAGAGCUGUUAAAUAACUUACUCAAGGUCUAGGAAAUGGCAUUGCUAAGGCUCAUUCCCAUGCGUGUCUUAUUCUAGAGUUCGUGUUCCUCAUUACUGGGCAUCUCGCUCCAUCAGCCAUCAGCAGCUCUGUGAAGACCUCCAGAACUCUUUUCUAACUUAAUUAUUUAGGAUUCUUCUCUACUGCUUGACCCAUGAGUUUUUAAAAGACAAGCACAAAGGGCUUCACACAUUAUAAGGACUCAAUAAACAUGUAUGCAUGGGUCAGUGAUGCCCCUGCAAAGCUUUGAAACUUAGAAUUGUGUGUUGACAUCAUCAUAGAUCAUCGCGUUGCUAAUGGAACUAACACAGGGCCUUGCAUGAAGGGAACACGUGGAAGAGUAUUUUUUUUUUACUUGUUUUGUUUUUAAUUCACAAUUGUCCCCUUUAAAUCAUGAUGAUGUGGUCACUGCAUUUUGCUGCAUAAAGGGCUUUUCCUAAAAUGGGACCCUUCGUUCUGGUCUCUUCCAAUUAUAACCUAACUUGAUGUGAAUAAAAUCAAGACUUUGCUGCCUAA